rnacentral:rRNA from 1 species
CCUACGGGAGGCAGCAGUAGGGAAUCUUCGGCAAUGGACGCAAGUCUGACCGAGCAACGCCGCGUGAGUGAAGAAGGUUUUCGGAUCGUAAAACUCUGUUGUUAGAAAAGAACAAGGAUGAGAGUGGAAAGUUCAUCCCUUGACGGUAUCUAACCAGAAAGCCACGGCUAACUACGUGCCAGCAGCCGCGGUAAUACGUAGGUGGCAAGCGUUGUCCGGAUUUAUUGGGCGUAAAGCGAGCGCAGGCGGUCUUUUAAGUCUGAUGUGAAAGCCCCCGGCUUAACCGGGGAGGGUCAUUGGAAACUGGGAGACUUGAGUGCAGAAGAGGAAAGCGGAAUUCCAUGUGUAGCGGUGAAAUGCGUAGAUAUAUGGAGGAACACCAGUGGCGAAGGCGGCUUUCUG